UUUACUUCCUCACAGAAAUACGAGUUUUAUAAUUAUAUGUCAUUUAAAAUGAGAUCGACAUAUUGUUCAAGAUCUCUGCUCUGUAGAAAAGAUGGAUAAAAUCAGUUUUGUACCAAACCAUGCACGCAGUUGUUUUUCCUUAAGAUUGAAACAAUUUUGUAGGAAAAAGAUGACAAAUUCAACAAAGAAAACCACAACCAUCAUCAUUAUACUUAAUCAUACCCCUGUCACUGGACAAGUCGCUUGCAUCUGUCUCCGGUCCUUGCGUUCCCACCUUGAAAAUAUGACGAUAAACUACGUACACCAACCCACACACAAGACCACCAAAAACCAAUAUGGUUCCACCUCUCUGCCCACUUAUUCGACUUUGAUCUCGAUAUUCGAUAUGGUUGAAAGGAGACAAGAAAGAGAAAAAAUAACUCAGACCAAAGAUAACCGAAGAUAAGUAACAAUCGAGAAUCGAGAAGAUGAAACAGAAAAAUGAAAUAAAUAUAUAAAUGUUGGACAUCAUGUUGGAGGAUUUUGAUAUAAAUAAAUAUGUUUCCGGUAAAUGUCUAUAUGAAAUGAUGUGCAUUCGGAAAACGGUGUGUGCUUCGUGACCAGUGCUAAGUUUUUUGAUCGAUUCUUGAUAUUGGUCGUGGAUUAAGAAAAAUGGAGGGAACUUAACCAGCAAAGGUUUCCAUUUUUUCUUCAGGAGAACAUAUAUUUGUCCGUUUUUCUCCUCGCAUUGCAUGUUACACGUCUUCUUUUGUUUGUAUUGUGACAUUCAAAACACUAUCACAGCCCAGUGUGGUGGUGCCGGGGUCUGGACAAUUUGGGUUGACAAUGGCCAAUUGUCAUUGUCAAGGGACUCCUCUCUUUCUCAAUGCUGCUUCUGAUCUGCUGCUGUGACCAGAAGAAGAAGAGGCCAGACCAGACGUUGUGCUGCUCCCUUCUGACUCAAGAGAAGAGAAUAUGACGAGGAUGACAACAAAGCAAGUUGCACAAUGUACAAAUAAUGAAAUGCCAAACACAAUUGGUCCCUCUUAACGCAAGCCCUCAAGUUCCUAAUUUCCUUCAAAUCUGGAAUUCAAGAGCCCUUUAUACCAUUCAAAUGGAGGUAUGUACAUGCACACUCAGGAGGUGACAUAACUUGAAGCGAUGGGAUUUUCAAGUGUUUGACAAGCUUAAAAAGAUGACUUUAGUGGAAUAAGUGGGAGUAAAGUCGUCCUGUAUUUUGUGAACUAAUUUAAUUUAAGAAUCCUGUAGUAGUAACGGUGACUCCGGUGACUCCUUGGUUCAUGUCUAACUUGCCUCAAAAAUUCCCAUUAACCAAACGUAUUAAAAAUAUCAAGAAGCAUGUUGAUUAAUCUCAAGUUUCCGUUGGUAAAUAUAUUUCCAUUUUUCAGUUGAUCUUAUACAGAUAUAAAAUUAAUUCAUAGACAAUUCUUCAUUUCCUGUCGUUUUAUUCUUUAUUUAUUUAUUUAUUUACCUGCAUUUGGUGUGAGAGGAGGAUAAGCACUCAUUUUUUUAGAUGGAGCAGGAGCUACAACCUUCCCAAUUUACUUAUUUAGCUACAAGACAAGAGUAAUAAUUUAAGUUUGAUUUCAGAAACUAGAUAUGUUUCGAGAUUUGAUGAUGUCUUCAUUUUGCCUGUCAUCAUUCCAUCAUAUUUUUACGAAGGAAUUGUUACAAGUAUGUACGGCGUAUCAUGAUGAACCUUACCUCUACGUACCUCUUAACUCUGUGCAACAAUGGAAAUAAUGACAAUGGAGCCUGAAGUGAGUGAAGAACAGUUGAAAAAUAAGUCGAACCAUGAAGGAAGAAGGACAGGAGGAGAGCAGAUCUGGAACAAUCAUCUACCACCGUCUCGUCUUGUCAAAGUCGUCGUGUCCGUCCGUCCCUUCUUCACGUCCCCCAUUUCCACGUCUUCUGCUUGCGUGAUAACAUGCGUGGUAAGGAACCGAAGCAAAUCAAAGGAAAUAAAUGGUAAUGUUUUUCCUACAUUUCCAAGUCAGAUGAGAGAACAAGAUGAGAAAAACCAACUUGUGUAAGUAUUAGAUAUCUCCGUGUUGUUUGUUCUUUACUCCCCAUUUCAGUGUUUCAGUGAUGACUUGAUGGAUAGAUUUGUGUUUCUUGUUCCUUUCUCUGUCCUUCCACAUUCAUAUGUCAGUGAUACGUAUGAGUUAGUAGAAUAGAAUUAGAUUUUCAUACAAAAUAAUAAAAAAGCCCAGUAAGUGGAUCCCGUUGUUUGUUGUUCACUUUUUCCUCUCAACUCUCCCAUAUUUUAAUAGCAGUAGCAGUAGUCAAGUAAUCUCUGUUUUGUGUGGAAACUCACAACAAUAAUUGGAGCAUCUUAUCAUCUUGUUGAAUAUGUAUUAUUGUUACGUAACAUUCACACAAUUUCCUUCUUUCGCGAAUAAAAUAUUUUAUUCAUGUCGGA